rfam:Callithrix jacchus chromosome 1, whole genome shotgun sequence
UUCUUUGUUAAUUUGCAGCUGCUUUUAUCAUAUUUCAGCCCAUUAUCCAACAAACACUAUGAAAUGUUUUAACAAUUGGAUUACAAACAUUUGCAUUUUGUGGAGUGGUGCUCACCAAGUGGUACAGCUCUAAGCAAGUGAACA